rnacentral:rRNA from 1 species
UAUCCGGAUUUAUUGGGUUUAAAGGGAGCGUAGGCGGACGCUUAAGUCAGUUGUGAAAGUUUGCGGCUCAACCGUAAAAUUGCAGUUGAUACUGGGUGUCUUGAGUACAGUAGAGGCAGGCGGAAUUCGUGGUGUAGCGGUGAAAUGCUUAGAUAUCACGAAGAACUCCGAUUGCGAAGGCAGCUUGCUGGACUGUAACUGACGCUGAUGCUCGAAAGUGUGGGUAUCAAACAGGAUUAGAUACCCUGGUAGUCCACACAGUAAACGAUGAAUACUCGCUGUUUGCGAUAUACGGUAAGCGGCCAAGCGGAAGCGUUAAGUAUUCCACCUGGGGAGUACGCCGGCAACGGUGAAACUCAAAGGAAUUGACGGGGGCCCGCACAAGCGGAGGAACAUGUGGUUUAAUUCGAUGAUACGCGAGGAACCUUACCCGGGCUUGAAUUGCAACUGAAUGAUGUGGAGACAUGUCAGCCGCAAGGCAGUUGUGAAGGUGCUGCAUGGUUGUCGUCAGCUCGUGCCGUGAGGUGUCGGCUUAAGUGCCAUAACGAGCGCAACCCUUAUCGAUAGUUACCAUCAGGUUAUGCUGGGGACUCUGUCGAGACUGCCGUCGUUAGAUGUGAGGAAGGUGGGGAUCCACUUCAAAUCAGCACGGCCCUUACGUUCCGGGGCUACACCCGUGUUACAAUGGGGG